GAUUUAGAAAUUCAUAUAAUGAUCAAAUAUGUAUAAGUAUUCUACUUGUUUGAAAGUAAAGCCUGCCUUAUUGUCACAAUAAGUAAUGUUUUAUGACUUAUGUAAGAUAAAGAUCAACUAUUAUAACAUUUUUGAACAAAAAGUUACUUUACAAUUAAAUUUGAGAUCAAGCUUAGCUGAACAUGCUCCUUGUGGUUUUUGCAGGGUAAUUCUUACCAGUUCUACUGAAUGGGGAGCAAUGGUGACUAAACUAAGCGUUCCUGCUGAUUGGAAAGAGUGGCAAAUAUAUGUACUACUACUGGGACUAUUUUUGGCAUCACUCCUUAUAUUUUAUGUGUUCUUCGAAAAUUCUGAUUCAUUCUGGAACUUCCCAAAGAAUCAACCCUUGAGAUCAAACAUUGAAACCAUCUUGGGGGAUCCACAGUCUGAUGAUCAAAAUACGUGGGGAGCUUUUGGGCCACUUGACAUGUAAUCUUUUCUCAGUUUUUCCUCUGUAGAAGUUAAGUGGGGGGCUGGAACAAGAGAAUGAAAUAAGGAUAUACUUCCUAAUGUGAUUGAUACACUAUUUAAAUUAUAUUCCUGCCUUUUGCACUAUUAUAUUCCAUGGCUUCUCAAUUAUUAGUUGUAUUGGCCUGAGCAAAAUCAUUUAAUACUGCAGAACUUUAUUUUAUUUUUA